UUUGGCAUGAACAAAGUGACCGGAAAUUGUGCACUCCGCCGUGAUCGUUGCCGGACUAUUGUACUUUCGAUUCUCUCCUCCAUGACGAUGGAAUAUUGAACGAGUAAUUUCAACUUUAAAGUAGUCUCUCAAGGAAGGUUCUGAUUUUAGGGUUUCUGAUUUUAACAUGGACAACUAUCAGUUUUAGGUUUCCAGUUACAACUACGAUGACGUAUACAGUCGGCUUAAUGUUGCUGUUCUUUUGGCCAAUCUGCAUGAGUGUUUGUUCUUUAUAAAUGAUGUUUACAAGUAAGUAAUUUAUUCGCUCAACUAUUGAAUGAUGAUUUAGCCAUUUAGGUAUUAUUAAUACGAUUUUAGGUCUUACAUAUGUUUAAUUUGUUAGUUUAAUGUUCUGUUUUCUGCACUGCAAGUGUUCAUAUAGUCUACGACAUCUGACUUACUUUUAAUAUUACUUUCAGUUAUUUAAGUUAAAGCUGUUUUGAUUUUCGGGAUUCGAAUUUCAUAUGCUGUGGCCUGUACUAAGCUGAGUUACCUAGAUAAUAAUAUGAUCAUGGAUGUGGUAGUUACAACGCGAAUUCACUUGAUAUACAUGACAAUGUUUUAAUUGCACUCAAGGGAGUGAUAUGGUUACUGGUUAGAUAAUCGUCUGAUUAAAAUUGCAGAUGGUUUAACUGCUUUAGUUACGUUGGCUGUAAGCCAAAAAAAACUUUGUGUCAGAACUAUACAGUAGCACAUUGCAAGCCAAAUAUAUAAGAGAGACUCGGUUAAGAAACAGUUAUCAUCUAAAUACUGUAUGAUACUGCUAAAGGCAUAAGAGUCUUGAGAUCUGAUCAAGGAAAGUCGAAUCUUUCGUAAGGGAUCCCGGGACCAGAUCUGGAACUGCCAGCACCACUCCUGCUGGUGGUGGGCUGAGACCUAUCCUGGAGGGCCUGGAUAACCGAAUUUGCUGGAACUCGAGGAAGACCGAGGACCCUGUUUUUCUUAAUCGGUCCUUGGGCUUCGACUAAUGCUGAAAUUUCAGUUUUCCAACCCUGAGAUGCUUCCCCCGAGGCUUCUUUUGUCGCCAAUAUCUCUCGCAUCUGAUUCUGAUGAACAACAAACAACCAAGUAUUAAGUGUUUGUAUAAUUUUCUAUUGAACUUGUUAACUUCAUUUACUUGUAAUUUAUAAAACGACUAGAUCAUACCCCAAUCAACCGAGCCCUCUCAGACGCCCACUCCUCUGUGUUUUUGCUCUUGUGUGUCUCAUCC
rnacentral:lncRNA from 1 species